rnacentral:rRNA from 1 species
ACGAACGCUGGCGGCGUGCUUAACACAUGCCAGUCGAACGGAAAGGCCCUGCUUUUGUGGGGUGCUCGAGUGGCGAACGGGUGAGUAACACGUGAGUAACCUGCCCUUGACUUUGGGAUAACCUCAGGAAACUGGGGCUAAUACCGGAUAGGAGCUCCUGCUGCGUGGUGGGGGUUGGAAAGUUUCGGCGGUUGGGGAUGGACUCGCGGCUUAUCAGCUUGUUGGUGGGGGAGUGGCUUACCAAGGCUUUGACGGGUAGCCGGCCUGAGAGGGUGACCGGCCACAUUGGGACUGAGAUACGGCCCAGACUCCUACGGGAGGCAGCAGUGGGGAAUAUUGCACAAUGGGCGGAAGCCUGAUGCAGCAACGCCGCGUGCGGGAUGACGGCCUUCGGGUUGUAAACCGCUUUCGCCUGUGACGAAGCGUGAGUGACGGUAAUGGGUAAAGAAGCACCGGCUAACUACGUG